rnacentral:rRNA from 1 species
UACUAGAGUAGCACUCGCAUAUCAAUAAGCGGAGGAAAAGAAACUAACAAGGAUUCCCCUAGUAACGGCGAGUGAAGCGGGAAGAGCUCAAAUUUGAAUCUUAAAGGGUUUCCCUUUACGAAUUGUAGUUUAAAGAAGUGUUUUCUGUUGAGGUUUUGGUAAAAGUUCUUUGGAAUAGGACAUCAUAGAGGGUGAGAAUCCCGUAUUUGACCUUUACUUUCAACUUUGUGAUACACUUUCAAAGAGUCGGAUUGUUUGGGAAUGCAGUCCAAAAUGGGUGGUAAAUUUCAUCUAAAGCUAAAUAUUGGCGAGAGACCGAUAGCGAACAAGUACCGUGAGGGAAAGAUGAAAAGAACUUUGAAAAGAGAGUUAAACAGUACGUGAAAUUGUCAAAAGGGAAGCGUUUGACACCAGUGUUGUUUUUCUGAAAAUCAAUUAAAGAACUGUUUAUGCUAAGCUGUUUAGACUUUAUCAGCUAUCUGUUUAGUUUUGAGCUUUUCUUUAAUGCACUUUUCAGUUAACAAGUCAACAUCAAUUUCUUUUGCUGUAAAAAAGCUUGAGGAAGGUGGCUUGAGAUUCGUCUUAAGUGUUUAUAGCCUCUUGCCUAUGCAGUCGGAGAGAUUGAGGUCUGCAGCGUAGAUCCUUCGGGGCUAAAUGCAUUUGUGCUAAGUUAUAGCAUUUUAUAGACAACUUGUUGACUAUGAUUUGUCUUGUAGCUUACUCGCUUAUGUUAUUUUACCUACGCUUAGGAUGUUGAGCGCAUGUCUCUCUCU